rnacentral:tRNA from 1 species
GGUCAUGUGGCCUAGUGGUCAUGGCAUCUGCCCGGUAAGCGGAAGGUCGUGGGUUCGAUUCCCAUCCCUUGAUUU